GCUCCAAUAGCGUAUAUUAAUGUUGUUGCAGUUAAAAAGCUCGUAGUUGGAUUUCUGGUCGGAGUGCUCGGCCUCUCCGCAAGGGGGUUGUGCAUGGGGGUCAUCUUCGGUCAUCCUCAGGGGGAACUUGCAGUGGUAUUCAUUUAUCGUUGUGAGGACGCCUGUCGUUUACUGUGAACAAUUAGAGUGUUCAAAGCAAG
rnacentral:rRNA from 1 species